UUACAAGUUCAAAUAGAUACUGACCAUCUAUUACUCUCAGUAUACUAAUCUAUCUCCUUCCUACUAUACAAAAAACAAUCUAGAUUUACACAAGAAACAAAAGCUUAUCCUACUUUAGCUUCUCACUUUAUUUCCACAGUUAAGGCCACUUAUCAAGCUUGGUAAGAGCAUCUGUCCAGAAAGGUAGAGUUUGUCUGUUGAUGUACUCUAUUUCCAAGACAAAUAGGUAAGGACACAUAGGGUCUCCUUGCCUUAUGCCUCUCUUACCCGCAAAAGGUUUUAUCAAUCCUCCAAAUAGAAUAAGAAAGUCUGAGACUGAUGAAAUACAUGCCAUUACCUAUUGUAUAAAUUUCCAAGGAAAUCCCAGAUCAGCCAACAUACUUUCCAAGAAGCUCCACUCAAUUGAAUCAUAGGCUUUCCUCAAGUUAAUUUUUAUCACACAUCUAGGGGAUAAUCCCUUCCUUGUGUACCAUUUUAAAACUUUAUAACUGAAGAGUAUGUUGUCAAUAAUACUUCUUCCUUCUACAAAA